rnacentral:misc_RNA from 1 species
GCAACCACCUCCCGGGGUUGAAAAGUCUCUGUGGAAACCAAGAAAAUACAAUUUUCAUUUCCAAGAAUAAUAUGGGGAGAUACGAUAACGUUUCAUGCAGCCUUUUCUAUUGCGGGAUUUGUUUGAGGGUAGUGACGAAAUAAAAAGGGUUGGCGUAAAGUGGUCUUUGCGUACGGGAGAUAAUCUAGGGCGCGUGCCACGUCGGCGUGCGCAUAGAGAACUUCUGAUCGAUCGGACGGACGUUCGUCGUUCCCCUGCAGCAGCGGCA